UGAUGACCCUUAUUAGUCCCCAGC
rnacentral:misc_RNA from 1 species